UGCAGUCGACGAUGAGAGCAGCUUGCUGCUUGGAUUAGUGGCGCACGGGUGAGUAAUAUAUAGUUAAUGUGCCUCGAAGACCGGGAUAGCCAUUGGAAACGAUGAUUAAUACUGGAUAUACCUUUAUAACUCAAGUUAUAAAGGGAAACGUUUUUUCGCUUCGAGAUCAGACUAUAUCCCAUCAGUUAGUUGGUAGUGUAAGAGACUACCAAGGCAAUGACGGGUAGCGGGUUUGAGAGGAUGAUCCGCCACACUGGUACUGAGACACGGACCAGACUCCUACGGGAGGCAGCAGUGAGGAAUAUUGCACAAUGGGGGAAACCCUGAUGCAGCAACGCCGCGUGGAGGAUGACGCAUUUCGGUGUGUAAACUCCUUUUAUAUGUCAAGAAAAUGACGGUAGCAUAUGAAUAAGCACCGGCUAACUCCGUGCCAGCAGCCGCGGUAAUACGGAGGGUGCAAGCGUUACUCGGAAUCACUGGGCGUAAAGGACGCGUAGGCGGGUUGGUAAGUCAGAUGUGAAAUCCUACAGCUCAACUGUAGAACUGCAUUUGAAACUACCAACCUAGAGUAUGGGAGGGGGAGAUGGAAUUAGUGGUGUAGGGGUAAAAUCCGUAGAUAUCACUAGGAAUACCUAAAGCGAGGCGAUCUCCUGGAACAUUACUGACGCUAAGGCGUGAAAGCGUGGGGAGCAAACGGGAUUAGAUACCCCGGUAGUCCACGCCCUAAACGAUGAACACUAGUCGUCGGGAUGCUUGUCAUCUCGGUGAUGCACUUUAACAUGCAGUCGACUGCAGUCGACGCGG
rnacentral:rRNA from 1 species